AUAAUAUUCGUCUAUGACUAUUUUUCUCAAAAGAACAAAAGCUUUGCCUAUCAUUAUUAUUUAAGUGGAAGUAACAUGAAAUAGAGUGGUCCGGUCAGCGCAUUCAAAGCUCACCCAACACCAAACCGGACACCGCCACGUAAUUCUGACUUGGCAUACUUUUUUUUAGUCGUUCAACUUCAAGGUUAGAAAAUCUCUCUCUCUC
rnacentral:lncRNA from 1 species